rnacentral:rRNA from 1 species
CCUACGGGAGGCAGCAGUGAGGAAUAUUGGUCAAUGGGCGCUAGCCUGAACCAGCCAAGUAGCGUGCAGGAUGACUGCCCUAUGGGUUGUAAACUUCUUUUAUAUGGGAAUAAAGUGCAGUAUGUAUACUGCUUUGCAUGUACCUUAUGAAUAAGGAUCGGCUAACUCCGUGCCAGCAGCCGCGGUAAUACGGAGGAUCCGAGCGUUAUCCGGAUUUAUUGGGUUUAAAGGGAGCGUAGGCGGGAUGUUAAGUCAGUUGUGAAAGGUGGCGGCUCAACCGUAAAAUUGCAGUGGAUACUGGCAUACUUGAGUGCAGGAGAGGUAGGCGGAAUUCGUGGUGUAGCGGUGAAAUGCUUAGAUAUCACGAAGAACUCCGAUUGUGAAGGCAGCCUGCUGGACUGUAACUGACGCUGAUGCUCGAAAGUGUGGGUAUCAAACAGGAUUAGAUACCCUGGUAGUC